rnacentral:lncRNA from 1 species
AAAUAGAAUUUGAGUACCAUGGAGAAAAGCUAGUUGGAUAAACAAGAUAGGGAUCAUCCGCUCGGCAAUGCUACCUUGGGAAGAGACAAAACACUUUAAUAUAACAAUUUGAACUCAUAUUUUAAAAGCUUUUUUGAUAUAUGAAUAUGAACAAGAUUACUAUGGAAAAGUUGGUGAACAUUGUUUUGACUCAUAGCUCUAAGAUUACUAGCAUGAAUAAGCCAGCUUCAACACCACCUAGACUCUUAAUCAUAAACAGACUUGCACUGACCUCAACAUAAAAAAAAGGAUGAACCUGGUCUGUCUAUUUGUACGCAUUGGCUUAACUCACUC